GUGCAAAGUGCUGAGUGAAACCUUCAGUCUUGUCCUCAUGACUUCUCAUAGCCUCACCCCCUCCUCCUUCCCCCUUUCUCUUAUGUAUAAUCCCAGCAGCUGGCAAAGUGUGGUGGCUCCCUCCAAAGACUAACGGGCAGCACCUUCUCUGGAGCUGGAACCCGGCAGCCUGCCUCACGGCUGCCCCACUGAGUGGGCGAUGAGCUGAGGGAACAUGGGAGCAGGACAUGAUGUGAAGGGACAAGAAGGGGAGACCACUGGAGUGGGGGGGGAGCGGAGUGUGCUUCUAAGCAUCCAGAUGCCGAGGGCACCCCAAUCUGUGCUUGGAGCU
rnacentral:lncRNA from 1 species